UUUAAUUUAAUUCAUUUGUUUGCUUGUAUGUGCGUGCUCUGGAUGUUUGUUUUGGUUGGUUGCCACGAGUAGAACAAACACAGUUCAAGAGUUUUCAAGAGCGUGAAGAUGAAGUUAAUCACUUUUGCAUUGCUCUGCAUUUAAUAUUGAUGGGUCCUAUUAAGGUUUGUCUAGUUUUUAUUAUCAUUCCUUAUCAACCUGGGUUUUAUCUUUCUGUUGGGUAGCUAUGCUUAGCUGCUAUACUUAGGUUAUGGUGGUUUUAAUGUACUCAAUGAUUAAACUUGUUUUACUUAUGCUAUACCUUCCAUUAAUACAAGAUCACCAUGCUUAAUUGGAACAUGGAGUGACCACCCAGGAAACAGUGCAACCACAAGAACUAAUGGGCUCUGGUCUUAGCUAAUUAAUUAGAUUCUAGUUAAGGGUAAUCUUACCGAAAGGGCAAGAGGAGAGGCUUGAGUCGUUGUAUAGCCCGGUCCUCUUGGUAAGUGGGCUUUGCUAAAACACUAUACCCAUUAGGGAGGUUUAUGCACGCACCGAAACCUUAGUGGGUUACUUCUUAUUAGGGAAUCUUUGUAAAGGCCUUGUAGUGUCCCUAUGCAGUCACACCUUGGUAGUGUGAUGAGUGCCUGAUUAGUACAGCAUGGUUGGGUUUAAAGUUCAUCUGAACUUUUACGCGACUUGUGGGUAAAGUAGUACAACCUCUGCAAAGUGUCUAAAACUGAUCGAUCAGCGGUGCUCAUGGUCAAGAGCGGCCUGAACUCUCACAUGAUUAAUCUAUCGGAAGUUCCAAAGUUGAAUUAAAUUGUUGUUAUUUAUUGCUGUUAUCUUUAUUUAUGUUCAUGCUUAAUGUGGGUUGGUAUAUACUUAUACCUUAGUAAUAAGGUGCUAAUAAAAUUUGACCAACUAAAAAUGCUUAAUGCAGUCAACCAGUCAGCGUUUCCUUAUUUAAGCCUUGCAUGCAUAUUUUCCCCACACUUGCUAAGUACGACAUGUGCUCACACUUGCUAUAACCAGCGUUGCUCAGAAGAAGAGGAUGCUAUGGAGUUUGUUGAAGCUGGUGCUGAGUUCUAGGCAUACGCAACCCCAGUCGACGGCCUGUGAAGUUUGGAGCCUUCGUUUCCAGGAUUAAGCAUAUAUCUCUGAUACUCUUUUUCAUUACGUGAUACUGUUACUGUUAUUCACUUAUGAUGUCACUAUAUGUAUGAAACUAGAUCCUGGCAUAUAUAUAGGUAGCACUUGGUUUUGUUUUAAAACCAGAUGUGACAGUUCUAAUCAUCACUUAAGCUCCAUACAUGUAAUCCUCAUAGUCUCUUUGAGUUGCAAUGUAUAAAAAGAACCGAAAC
rnacentral:lncRNA from 1 species